UCUUCAGUUAUUAGGAAGCCUUAAGCUCUU
rnacentral:piRNA from 1 species